rnacentral:rRNA from 1 species
CUUGCCCGGAAAUUACGAGCACCAGCUUAAAACCCAAAGGACUUGGCGGUGACUUAGACCCAUCUAGAGGAGCCUGUUCUGUAAUCGACACCCCCCGUUAAACCUAACCCUCUCUUGUCAUCCCCGCCUAUAUACCGCCGUCGUCAGCUUACCCUGUGAAGGACUAGUAGUGGGCAAAAUCGGCACAGCCCAAAACGCCAGGUCAAGGUGUAGCGUAUGAGAGGGGAAGAAAUGGGCUACAUUCACUGCACCAGUGAAAACGGAUAAUGCUUUGAAACAAGCACUUUUGAAGGAGGAUUUAGUAGUAAGAGGGGAAUAGAGUGCCCCUCUGAAACAGGCUCUGAGACACGCACAUACCGCCCGUCACUCUCUCCAGCAUAGCAGGUAUAGUAUUAAAUAAACAAUGACCCUAGGCACAAGGGGAGGCAAGUCGUAACAUGGUAAGUGUACCGGAAGGUGCACUUGGUAAACAU